UCUGAGUGUGUCAGCGGUGCUGUGAGGUCGUUUUCCCGGAGGCUUCGCAAAUUCUGCUGGGGGAUCUUUUUAUUUUCUUUCGUUUAACUCUCUGUCAGUAAUAGUCUAGAUUUUUAAAGUUGUAGUUAGUGGUAGAGUACGACAUAGUUUUGCCAAAUAUCUUGUGCUGGUGUUUUAAAGACGAGGUCUGAUGUAUUUUCUUUGAGAUCAGCGUAAAUGCCUACCAUCUUUUUUCUUUUGUUUUAAUUUUUUCUAACAUCGUGACAAACGCCAACUUUUCUGCUGAUUCUCAUCCUUUACACUGAACACAAGUCUGCCUGUCCUCUCUCUUCUCACUCAGCAUCUCUUAA
rnacentral:lncRNA from 1 species